rnacentral:rRNA from 1 species
AGUGAACGCUGGCGGUAGGCCUAACACAUGCAAGUCGAACGGCAGCAGAGAAAAGCCUGGUUCUUAGGUGAGGCGAGGGGGGCAGGUGAGAGGAGUACGGGGAACUGUACUUUUUAGGGGGAGAUAACGUGGGAACAGUUACGAAAAUAGCGUAACGGAGCUAGAGGUGAAAGGGGGAGCUCUGCGCAUCUUGCGCGCGGGAAUGAGCCGAUGGCGGAUUAGCGAGGGGGCGGGGUAGACGCCCACCAAGGCGACGAUCCCUAGCUGGUCUGAGAGGAUGACCAGCCACACUGGAACUGAGACACGGUCCAGACUCCUACGGGAGGCAGCAGUGGGGAAUAUUGCACAAUGGGCGCAAGCCUGAUGCAGCCAUGCCGCGUGUAUGAAGAAGGCCUUCGGGUUGUAAAGUACUUUCGUCGGGGAGGAAGGGAGUCAAGUUAAUACCUCUGCUCAUUGACGUUACCCGCAGAAGAAGCACCGGCUAACUCCGUG